CACGUAGUUAGCCGUGGCUUUCUGGUUGGAUACCGUCACUACCUGAUCAGUUACUAUCAAAUACGUUCUUCUCCAACAACAGAGUUUUACGAUCCGAAAACCUUCUUCACUCACGCGGCGUUGCUCCAUCAGACUUUCGUCCAUUGUGGAAGAUUCCCUACUGCUGCCUCCCGUAGGAGUCUGGGCCGUGUCUCAGUCCCAGUGUGGCCGAUUACCCUCUCAGGUCGGCUAUGCAUCACGGUCUUGGUGAGCCUUUACCUCACCAACUAACUAAUGCACCGCGGGUCCAUCCUAAAGUGAUAGCCGAAACCAUCUUUCAACCUUGCACCAUGCGGUGCUAGGUUUUAUGCGGUAUUAGCAUCUGUUUCCAAAUGUUAUCCCCCACUUUAGGGCAGGUUACCCACGUGUUACUCACCCGUCCGCCACUCACUCAAAUGUUAUCAAUCAGAAGCAAGCUUCUUCAAUCUAACGAGAGUGCGUUCGACUUGCAUGUAUUAGGCACGCCCG
rnacentral:rRNA from 1 species